rnacentral:rRNA from 1 species
GACGAACGCUGGCGGCGUGCUUAACACAUGCAAGUCGAACGGAAAGGCCCUGCUUUUGUGGGGUGCUCGAGUGGCGAACGGGUGAGUAACACGUGAGUAACCUGCCCUUGACUUUGGGAUAACUUCAGGAAACUGGGGCUAAUACCGGAUAGGAGCUCCUGCUGCAUGGUGGGGGUUGGAAAGUUUCGGCGGUUGGGGAUGGACUCGCGGCUUAUCAGCUUGUUGGUGGGGUAGUGGCUUACCAAGGCUUUGACGGGUAGCCGGCCUGAGAGGGUGACCGGCCACAUUGGGACUGAGAUACGGCCCAGACUCCAACCGGAGGCAGCAGUGGGGAAUAUUGCACAAUGGGCGGAAGCCUGAUGCAGAAACGCCGCGUGCGGGAUGACGGCCUUCGGGUUGUAAACCGCUUUCGACUGUGACGAAGCGUGAGUGACGGUAAUGGGUAAAGAAGCACCGGCUAACUACGUG